rnacentral:rRNA from 1 species
AUCGCUAAAAGUAGUUGAUUUUUAGUAGUACCUGCCCAGUGCGUAUUAUCUUGUUAACGGCCGCCUUAGCGUGAGGGUGCUAAGGUAGCGAAAUUCCUUGCCUUUUAAUUGUAGGCCAGCAUGAAUGGUUUGACGAGGGCCUCACUGUCUCUUAGUUCUAUGUUGAAAUUGUAGUGUAGGUGAAGAUACCUUCAUAAAAAAGUAAGACAAAAAGACCCCGUGCAACUUUGAAAAUUAAGCUAGAUUAAAUGGCAAAAGAUUUUUAGGUGGGGCGCCAAAAGAGGAAACUAUAACCUCUGCUGUUUAAGCUAAUUCUUACUGGAGUUGACCUGACUUAAGUCGAUCAAAGGAGAAGUUACGCCGGGGAUAACAGGCCAAUUCUUUAGUAAAGCUCGUAUUAACUAAAGGGCUUGGCACCUCGAUGUUGAAUCAGGGAUUAUAGCUUCAAGGCGUAGAUGCUUUGAUUAGUAGGUCUGUUCGACCUUUGAAACCC